rnacentral:tRNA from 1 species
GUCCCCUUCGUCUAGAGGCCCAGGACACCGCCCUCUCACGGCGGCAACACCGGUUCGAAUCCGGUAGGGGACGCCA